CUCCACCGGAGAAUAGGGAAGCAAACCAGGAUCCUCAUCGGGAGAGGGAGACCAGGAGGAGGUCCUUCCGGCAGGCAAGGGGAGUUCAAGACUGUCCUUCUGGAUAGAAAGGGAGACGUGCUCCAAGUCUGAGGAAAGGUCACAGGGAUGUGCUGAGUGGGAGAAAUUGCAAGGCAAAGAGAAUGCAGAUAUUGGCCAGAAGGACUGUUUUCAAAGCUGGUGGCUGGAAGUGAGAGGAGGCUGGUGAAGGGGUCUGAAAAGUCUAGACUAUACAACUGAAAUUUGGCUCAUCUUCUUCCUUAAUAGCUGGUGGGGUUUGGGGAGGGAAAAAUCCCUUAACCUCUGCUUGACUUUUUCCGGGGUUUGUGAAUACAAUUGCUAUACCUCCACAACCCGGGAGGGUUGAGCAAAAACCUCCACGGCAGCCUAACACUUUACAGAACACCAGUGAAAACCAAACUGAAGGUGCAAAUCAAAGAUGUACAUAUUUUUUUAUAAAAACUGGUUUUAAUAGAUAA